CAGCAGCCGCCGCGGUAAUACGGAGGGAGCUAGCGUUGUUCGGAAUUACUGGGCGUAAAGCGCGCGUAGGCGGUUACUCAAGUCAGAGGUGAAAGCCCGGGGCUCAACCCCGGAACUGCCUUUGAAACUAGGUGACUAGAAUCUUGGAGAGGUCAGUGGAAUUCCGAGUGUAGAGGUGAAAUUCGUAGAUAUUCGGAAGAGCACCAGUGGCGAAGGCGACUGACUGGACAAAGACUGACGCUCAGGUGCGAAAGCGUGGGGAGCAAACAGGAUUAGAUACCCCGGUAGUCCCUGUCUCUUAUAC
rnacentral:rRNA from 1 species